GACCACAUGCGAAGAUCGAUCUUCGCAUGCGACUGCUUAAAUAGGCCGCAUGCGAAGAUCGAUUUUUGCAUGCGGUC
rnacentral:pre_miRNA from 11 species